GCCGGGGUGGCGAAAUGGUAUACGCAGGGGACUUAAAAUCCCCCGGGAGAAAUCCCAUGCGGGUUCGAGUCCCGCCCUCGGCA
rnacentral:tRNA from 1 species